UGUGGGACUAGGCUGGGGGGUUAGGCGUCCCCUGUAACCGCAAACCGUCUCAUGGCGGAGCCGAAGCCCAAGGGCGGUGUUAACCGACCGAACCGACCCAGGUUCUCAACUGUGAGGUUUUGCCCUGUAGGGUCGAUGGUGUGGUGAACCAGGUCAGGCCCGGAAGGGAGCAGCCUUAAGCCGCACCACCGAUGCUUACAGGUCAACAAAACUGAGGAGAGUUCCUGGAAAAUCGGUUUGUUAGGUUAACACCCACCAAGGGCGUGUCCCACU
rnacentral:SRP_RNA from 1 species